rnacentral:rRNA from 2 species
UUAAAUUGAAGAGUUUGAUCAUGGCUCAGAUUGAACGCUGGCGGCAGGCCUAACACAUGCAAGUCGAACGGUAACAGGAAACAGCUUGCU